UACGUAGGGUGCAAGCGUUGUCCGGAAUUAUUGGGCGUAAAGAGCUCGUAGGCGGUCUGUCGCGUCGGCUGUGAAAUCCCGAGGCUCAACCUCGGGUCUGCAGUCGAUACGGGCAAACUAGAGUAUUGCAGGGGAGACUGGAAUUCCUGGUGUAGCGGUGAAAUGCGCAGAUAUCAGGAGGAACACCGGUGGCGAAGGCGGGUCUCUGGGCCGAUACUGACGCUGAGGAGCGAAAGCGUGGGGGAGCGAACAGGG
rnacentral:rRNA from 1 species